UACGGAGGGGGCUAGCGUUGUUCGGAAUUACUGGGCGUAAAGCGUACGUAGGCGGCUUUGUAAGUUAGAGGUGAAAGCCUGGAGCUCAACUCCAGAAUUGCCUUUAAGACUGCCGAGCUAGCAGGUGAGAGAGGUGAGUGGAAUUCCGAGUGUAGAGGUGAAAUUCGUAGAUAUUCGGAAGAACACCAGUGGCGAAGGCGGCUCACUGGCUCAUACUGGACGCUGAGGUGCGAAAGCGUGGGGAGCAAACAGG
rnacentral:rRNA from 1 species